rnacentral:rRNA from 1 species
CGACUCACUAUAGGGCGAAUUGAAUUUAGCGGCCGCGAAUUCGCCYUUAGAGUUUGAUUCUGGCUCAGAUUGAACGCUGGCGGCAGGCCUAACACAUGCAAGUCGAGCGGAUGAAGGGAGCUUGCUCCUGGAUUCAGCGGCGGACGGGUGAGUAAUGCCUAGGAAUCUGCCUGGUAGUGGGGGAUAACGUCCGGAAACGGGCGCUAAUACCGCAUACGUCCUGAGGGAGAAAGUGGGGGAUCUUCGGACCUCACGCUAUCAGAUGAGCCUAGGUCGGAUUAGCUAGUUGGUGGGGUAAAGGCCUACCAAGGCGACGAUCCGUAACUGGUCUGAGAGGAUGAUCAGUCACACUGGAACUGAGACACGGUCCAGACUCCUACGGGAGGCAGCAGUGGGGAAUAUUGGACAAUGGGCGAAAGCCUGAUCCAGCCAUGCCGCGUGUGUGAAGAAGGUCUUCGGAUUGUAAAGCACUUUAAGUUGGGAGGAAGGGCAGUAAGUUAAUACCUUGCUGUUUUGACGUUACCAACAGAAUAAGCACCGGCUAACUUCGUGCCAGCAGCCGCGGUAAUACGAAGGGUGCAAGCGUUAAUCGGAAUUACUGGGCGUAAAGCGCGCGUAGGUGGUUCAGCAAGUUGGAUGUGAAAUCCCCGGGCUCAACCUGGGAACUGCAUCCAAAACUACUGAGCUAGAGUACGGUAGAGGGUGGUGGAAUUUCCUGUGUAGCGGUGAAAUGCGUAGAUAUAGGAAGGAACACCAGUGGCGAAGGCGACCACCUGGACUGAUACUGACACUGAGGUGCGAAAGCGUGGGGAGCAAACAGGAUUAGAUACCCUGGUAGUCCACGCCGUAAACGAUGUCGACUAGCCGUUGGGAUCCUUGAGAUCUUAGUGGCGCAGCUAACGCGAUAAGUCGACCGCCUGGGGAGUACGGCCGCAAGGUUAAAACUCAAAUGAAUUGACGGGG